rnacentral:rRNA from 1 species
CCUGGCUCAGGAUGAACGCUGGCGGCGUGCUUAACACAUGCAAGUCGAACGAAGCGUCCCGCCCGAAGAAGUGGAGUGCUUGCACAAAACGGACUCAAUUGGGGAUGGACUUAGUGGCGGACGGGUGAGUAACGCGUGGGUAACCUGCCUUACACAGGGGGACAACAGUUGGAAACGACUGCUAAUACCGCAUAACCCGCUAGUACCGCAUGGUACAGACGGAAAAGAUUUAUCGGUGUAAGAUGGACCCGCGUCUGAUUAGCUAGUUGGUGAGGUAACGGCUCACCCAAGGCGACGAUCAGUAGCCGGCCUGAGAGGGUGAACGGCCACAUUGGGACUGAGACACGGCCCAAACUCCUACGGGAGGCAGCAGUGGGGAAUAUUGGACAAUGGGGGAAACCCUGAUCCAGCGACGCCGCGUGAGUGAAGAAGUAUUUCGGUAUGUAAAGCUCUAUCAGCAGGGAAGAAAAUGACGGUACCUGAAUAAGAAGCCCCGGCUAACUACGUGCC